rnacentral:ncRNA from 1 species
CAAGGUCUUGGUCUUAAACCUCCUAUUGUCUUAACCCUCUACUUAUACAUGCAAGACUCAUCACAACAGUGAAACAGCCCCCCCCCACCAUCAGAGCAGGUAUCAGGCCAACACGCCCACGACACCAAGCAACCAGCCACGCCCCCACGGGCCCGCAGCAGUAGUUAAUAUUGGGCUAUAAGCGUAAGCUCGACCCAGUAAGAGAGUUACCAGGGCCGGUUAAUCUCGUGCCAGCGACCGCGGUUACACGACAGACCCAAGACAAUACCACCGGCGUAAAGCACGACUAAAACAAAUAUGUUACCAUACUAGGGAUAAAGCAAAACUGGGCUGUAAAAAGCCAUAAGCCACACUAAAAACGAAGCCCUAACAUAAAACAUCUUCCACUCGUGAAAGCAAGGACACAAACUAAGAUUAGAUACCUUACUAUGCCCAGCCUUAACAAAACAAUCAAAUAACGAAUUGUUCGCCAAAUAACUACGAGUUAAAACUUAAAAUUUAAAAGACUUGACGGUACUUCACACCAACCUAGAGGAGCCUGUCUAUUAACCGAUAAUCCACGAUUAACCCAACCCUUUCUAGCCCAACAGUCUAUAUACCGCCGUCGCCAGCUUACCUUGUGAAAGAAACAAAGUAAGCCCAAUAAUAUCACAUUAAUACGACAGGUCGAGGUGUAACCAAUGAAAGGGGUCAAGAUGGGCUACAUUUUCUUAACCCAGAAAAGCCUACAACGAAUAAACUAUGAAACUAGAAACUGAAGGUGGAUUUAGCAGUAGACUAAGAAUAGAAUACUUAAUCGAAAUUAACGCAAUGAAGUGCGCACACACCGCCCGUCAUCCCUGUAAGAUACAUAAACUAUUCAUAAUACCAUUAAUUUCUCCAAAGCAGGGCAAGUCGUAACAUGGUAAGCGUACUGGAAAGUGCGCUUAGAAA